CGCGGGGUAGAGCAGUGGAAGCUCGUUAGGCUCAUAACCUAAAGGUCGUCGGUUCGAGUCCGACCCCCGCAACCA
rnacentral:tRNA from 2 species